UUGGUACUCCCUCCGUUCCAUAUUACUUGUCGCUGAUUUAAUACAAAGUUGUACUAUAUUACUUGUCGCUGAUUUAGUACAACUUUGUAUUAAAUCAGCGACAAGUAAUAUGAAACGGAGGGAGUAGAUG
rfam:Triticum aestivum genome assembly, contig: Triticum_aestivum_CS42_TGACv1_scaffold_458201_5DS